rfam:Bombyx mori DNA, contig: Bm_scaf355_contig42757, strain: p50T/Dazao, build 2, whole genome shotgun sequence.
ACAACAUUGGGACCGUCGAUCUACCGAGCAGUAUCACUGGUUCGGAGGAAGAUCUUCCUUUCGUCGC